UGACAUUCCUGAAACAUGGCAGGAAGCUCUGAGCACUGAAUAAGCAAGGAAGAAAUGUGUCCGACACUCAAGGUAUUCAAGGAAAUGAGAUCACAAGAGAAAAGUGACUUGGUUCAAUCUACAUGGCUAAAUAGAAAAGAAGCUGGGGGAAGAACUCCAGUCUUGGUGCCCUCAGUCCAUUGCCCUUUCUGGUGCAACAUCAAGUCUAAGUUAAAUCAGUGGGCCCCAGAGAGCAAGCCCAAUUCUGACACAUUUGGGAAGAAUGAUUUCUCUAAUUAUUUCCCUCCCUUCAGCUUUACAGGAUUUCCCAAAAUCCACAGAUGCAUAAAGCAGUAUCAUGUUCUGAGCCGGUACCAUUUCCAAAUGAGAGUUCAAGGCAGCACACAGUGUUGUGGAGUUAGAGAUGGAAAG
rnacentral:lncRNA from 1 species